AACAUUUCAUCAUUUCCACAAUUCAAUCAAAUUUCAUAGGUUUAACAACAUCCUUUUCAUAAUUUACACAAUUCAAUCAAAUUUUAUAGGUUUAACAACAACACUUUCAUCAUCCCCAUAAUUCAACCAAGUUUCAUGGGUUUAACAAAAACAUUUUCAUCAUUCCCACAAUUCAAUCAAAUUUCAUGUGUUUAACAUCAACAUUUUAAUCAUUCCCAUAAUUCAAUCAAAUUUCAUGGGUUUAACAAAAACAUUUCUAUCAUUCGCACAAUUCAAUCAAAUUUUAGGGGUAUAACAACAACGUUUUCAUCAUUCCCGCAAUUCAAUCAAAUUUCAUGGGUUUAACAUCAACAUUUUCAUCAUUCCCACAAUUCAAUCAAAUUUCAUGGGUUUAACAUCAUCAUUUCUAUAAUUCCCACAAUUCAAUCAAAUUUCAUGGGUUUAACAUCAACAUUUUCAUCAUUCCCACAAUUCAAUCAAAUUUCAUGGGUUUAACAUCAUCAUUUCUAUAAUUCCCACAAUUCAAUCAAAUUUCAUGGGUUUAACAUCAACAUUUCCAUCAUUCCCACAAUUCAAUCAAAUUUCAUGGGUUUAACAUCAUCAUUUUCAUCAUUCCCACAAUUCAAUCAAAUUUCAUGGGUUUAACAUCAACAUUUUCAUCAUUCCCACAAUUCAAUCAAAUUUCAUGGGUUUAACAUCAUCAUUUUCAUCAUUCCCACAAUUCAAUCAAAUUUCAUGGGUUUAACAUCAUCAUUUCUAUCAUUCCCACAAUUCAAUCAAAUUUCAUGGGUUUAACAUCAUCAUUUUCAUCAUUCCCACAAUUCAAUCAAAUUUCAUGGGUUUAACAUCAAUAUUUUCAUCAUUCCCACAAUUCAAUCAAAUUUCAUGGGUUUAACAUCAACAUUUUCAUCAUUCCCACAAUUCAAUCAAAUUUCAUGGGUUUAACAUCAUCAUUUCUAUCAUUCCCACAAUUCAAUCAAAUUUCAUGGGUUUAACAUCAAUAUUUUCAUCAUUCCCACAAUUCAAUCAAAUUUCAUGGGUUUAACAUCAACAUUUUCAUCAUUCCCACAAUUCAAUCAAAUUUCAUGGGUUUAACAUCAACAUUUUCAUCAUUCCCACAAUUCAAUCAAAUUUCAUGGGUUUAACAUCAACAUUUUCAUCAUUCCCACAAUUCAAUCAAAUUUCAUGGGUUUAACAUCAACAUUUUCAUCAUUCCCACAAUUCAAUCAAAUUUCAUGGGUUUAACAUCAACAUUUUCAUCAUUCCCACAAUUCAAUCAAAUUUCAUGGGUUUAACAUCAACAUUUUCAUCAUUCCCACAAUUCAAUCAAAUUUCAUGGGUUUAACAUCAACAUUUUCAUCAUUCCCACAAUUCAAUCAAAUUUCAUGGGUUUAACAUCAACAUUUUCAUCAUUCCCACAAUUCAAUCAAAUUUCAUGGGUUUAACAUCAACAUUUUCAUCAUUCCCACAAUUCAAUCAAAUUUCAUGGGUUUAACAUCAACAUUUUCAUCAUUCCCACAAUUCAAUCAAAUUUCAUGGGUUUAACAUCAACAUUUUCAUCAUUCCCACAAUUCAAUCAAAUUUCAUGGGUUUAACAUCAACAUUUUCAUCAUUCCCACAAUUCAAUCAAAUUUCAUGGGUUUAACAUCAACAUUUUCAUCAUUCCCACAAUUCAAUCAAAUUUCAUGGGUUUAACAUCAACAUUUUCAUCAUUCCCACAAUUCAAUCAAAUUUCAUGGGUUUAACAUCAACAUUUUCAUCAUUCCCACAAUUCAAUCAAAUUUCAUGGGUUUAACAUCAACAUUUUCAUCAUUCCCACAAUUCAAUCAAAUUUCAUGGGUUUAACAUCAACAUUUUCAUCAUUCCCACAAUUCAAUCAAAUUUCAUGGGUUUAACAUCAACAUUUUCAUCAUUCCCACAAUUCAAUCAAAUUUCAUGGGUUUAACAUCAACAUUUUCAUCAUUCCCACAAUUCAAUCAAAUUUCAUGGGUUUAACAUCAUCAUUUUCAUCAUUCCCACAAUUCAAUCAAAUUUCAUGGGUUUAACAUCAACAUUUUUAUCAUUCCCACAAUUCAAUCAAAUUUCAUGGGUUUAACAUCAUCAUUUUCAUCAUUCCCACAAUUCAAUCAAAUUUCAUGGGUUUAACAUCAACAUUUUCAUCAUUCCCACAAUUCAAUCAAAUUUCAUGGGUUUAACAUCAACAUUUUCAUCAUUCCCACAAUUCAAUCAAAUUUCAUGGGUUUAACAUCAACAUUUUCAUCAUUCCCACAAUUCAAUCAAAUUUCAUGGGUUUAACAUCAACAUUUUCAUCAUUCCCACAAUUCAAUCAAAUUUCAUGGGUUUAACAUCAACAUUUUCAUCAUUCCCACAAUUCAAUCAAAUUUCAUGGGUUUAACAUCAACAUUUUCAUCAUUCCCACAAUUCAAUCAAAUUUCAUGGGUUUAACAUCAACAUUUUCAUCAUUCCCACAAUUCAAUCAAAUUUCAUGGGUUUAACAUCAACAUUUUCAUCAUUCCCACAAUUCAAUCAAAUUUCAUGGGUUUAACAUCAACAUUUUCAUCAUUCCCACAAUUCAAUCAAAUUUCAUGGGUUUAACAUCAUCAUUUCCAUCAUUCCCACAAUUCAAUCAAAUUUCAUGGGUUUAACAUCAACAUUUUCAUCAUUCCCACAAUUCAAUCAAAUUUCAUGGGUUUAACAUCAACAUUUUCAUCAUUCCCACAAUUCAAUCAAAUUUCAUGGGUUUAACAUCAACAUUUUCAUCAUUCCCACAAUUCAAUCAAAUUUCAUGGGUUUAACAUCAACAUUUUCAUCAUUCCCACAAUUCAAUCAAAUUUCAUGGGUUUAACAUCAACAUUUUCAUCAUUCCCACAAUUCAAUCAAAUUUCAUGGGUUUAACAUCAACAUUUUCAUCAUUCCCACAAUUCAAUCAAAUUUCAUGGGUUUAACAUCAACAUUUUCAUCAUUCCCACAAUUCAAUCAAAUUUCAUGGGUUUAACAUCAACAUUUUCAUCAUUCCCACAAUUCAAUCAAAUUUCAUGGGUUUAACAUCAACAUUUUCAUCAUUCCCACAAUUCAAUCAAAUUUCAUGGGUUUAACAUCAACAUUUUCAUCAUUCCCACAAUUCAAUCAAAUUUCAUGGGUUUAACAUCAACAUUUUCAUCAUUCCCACAAUUCAAUCAAAUUUCAUGGGUUUAACAUCAACAUUUUCAUCAUUCCCACAAUUCAAUCAAAUUUCAUGGGUUUAACAUCAACAUUUUCAUCAUUCCCACAAUUCAAUCAAAUUUCAUGGGUUUAACAUCAACAUUUUCAUCAUUCCCACAAUUCAAUCAAAUUUCAUGGGUUUAACAUCAACAUUUUCAUCAUUCCCACAAUUCAAUCAAAUUUCAUGGGUUUAACAUCAACAUUUUCAUCAUUCCCACAAUUCAAUCAAAUUUCAUGGGUUUAACAUCAACAUUUUCAUCAUUCCCACAAUUCAAUCAAAUUUCAUGGGUUUAACAUCAACAUUUUCAUCAUUCCCACAAUUCAAUCAAAUUUCAUGGGUUUAACAUCAACAUUUUCAUCAUUCCCACAAUUCAAUCAAAUUUCAUGGGUUUAACAUCAACAUUUUCAUCAUUCCCACAAUUCAAUCAAAUUUCAUGGGUUUAACAUCAACAUUUUCAUCAUUCCCACAAUUCAAUCAAAUUUCAUGGGUUUAACAUCAUCAUUUCUAUCAUUCCCACAAUUCAAUCAAAUUUCAUGGGUUUAACAUCAUCAUUUUCAUCAUUCCCACAAUUCAAUCAAAUUUCAUGGGUUUAACAUCAACAUUUUCAUCAUUCCCACAAUUCAAUCAAAUUUCAUGGGUUUAACAUCAUCAUUUCUAUAAUUCCCACAAUUCAAUCAAAUUUCAUGGGUUUAACAUCAUCAUUUUCAUCAUUCCCACAAUUCAAUCAAAUUUCAUGGGUUUAACAUCAACAUUUUCAUCAUUCCCACAAUUCAAUCAAAUUUCAUGGGUUUAACAUCAACAUUUUCAUCAUUCCCACAAUUCAAUCAAAUUUCAUGGGUUUAACAUCAUCAUUUCUAUAAUUCCCACAAUUCAAUCAAAUUUCAUGGGUUUAACAUCAUCAUUUCCAUCAUUCCCACAAUUCAAUCAAAUUUCAUGGGUUUAACAUCAACAUUUUCAUCAUUCCCACAAUUCAAUCAAAUUUCAUGGGUUUAACAUCAACAUUUUCAUCAUUCCCACAAUUCAAUCAAAUUUCAUGGGUUUAACAUCAACAUUUUCAUCAUUCCCACAAUUCAAUCAAAUUUCAUGGGUUUAACAUCAUCAUUUCUAUAAUUCCCACAAUUCAAUCAAAUUUCAUGGGUUUAACAUCAACAUUUUCAUCAUUCCCACAAUUCAAUCAAAUUUCAUGGGUUUAACAUCAACAUUUUCAUCAUUCCCACAAUUCAAUCAAAUUUCAUGGGUUUAACAUUCACAUUUUCAUCAUUCCCACAAUUCAAUCAAAUUUCAUGGGUUUAACAACAACAUUUUCAUCAUUCCCACAAUUCAAUCAAAUUUCAUGGGUUUAACAUCAACAUUUUCAUCAUUCCCACAAUUCAAUCAAAAUUCAUGUGUUUAAUAACAACAUUUCCAUUAUUCCCACAAUUCAAUCAAAUUUCAUGGGUUUCACAACAACAUUUUCAAUUUUCACACAAUUCAAUCAAAUUUCUUGGGUUUAACAUCAACAUUUCAUCAUUUCCACCAUUCAAUCAAUUUCAUAGGUUUAACAACAACAUUUUCAUCAUUCCCACAAUUCAAUCAAAUUUCAUGGGUUUAACAUCAUCAUUUUCAUCAUUCACACAGUUCAAUCAAUUUUCAUGGGUUUAACAUCAACAUUUCUUCAUUUCCACAAUUCAAUCAAAUUUCAUAGGUUUAACAAAAACAUUUUCAUCAUUCACACAAUUCAAUCAAAUUUCAUAGGUUUAACAAUAGCACUUUCAUCAUUCCCUUAAGUCAAUCAAAUUUCAUCGGUUUAACAUCAACAUUUUCAUCAUUCACACAUUUCAAUUAGAUUUUAAGGGUUUAAAAAAAUAAUUUUUAUCAUUCAUAUAUUUCAAUCAAAUUUCAUGCUUUUAACAACAAUAUUUUCAUUUAAUCACACAAUUCAAUCAAAUUCAUGGGAUUAACAUCAUAAUUUUCAUCAUUCCCACAAUUUAAUCAAAUUUCCUGUUUUUAACGUCAUCAUUUUUAUCAUUCACACAAUUCAAUCGAAUUUCAUGUGUUUAACAUCAACAUUUCAUCAUUUCUACAAUUCAAUCAAAUUUCAUUGGUUUAACAACAUCACUUUCAUCAUUCCCAUAAUUCAAUCAAAUUUCAUGGGUUUAACAUCAUCAUUUUCGUCAUUCACACAGUUCAAUCAAAUUUCAUGGGUUUAACAUCAACAUUUCACCAUUUCCANUUUCAUCAUUUCCACAAUUCAAUCAAAUUUCAUAGGUUUAACAACAACAUUUUCAUCAUUCACACAAUUCAAUCAAAUUUUAUAGGUUUCACAACAACAUUUUUAUCAUCCCCAUAAUUCAACCAAAAUUCAUGGGUUUAACAACAACAUUUGCAUCAUUCCCACAAUUCAAUCAAAUUUCAUGGGUUUAACAUCAACAUUUUAAUCAUUCCCACAAUUCAAUCAAAUUUCAUGGGUUUAACAAAAACAUUUCUAUUAUUCACAAAAUUCAAUCAAAUUUUAAGGGUUUAACAACAACAUUUUCAUCAUUCCCACAAUUCAAUCAAAUUUCAUGGGUUUAACAUCAACAUUUUCGUCAUUCCCACAAUUCAAUGAAAAUUCAGUUGUUUAAUAACAACAUUUACAUUAUUCCCACAAUUCAAUCAAAUUUCAUAG
rnacentral:lncRNA from 1 species